rnacentral:rRNA from 1 species
AUGAACGUUGGCGGCGUGGAUUAGGCAUGCAAGUCGAGCGAGAACCCCGCAAGGGGGGACAGCGGCGAAAGGGACAGUAAUGUGUAGAUUAUCUGCCCUCAGGUCCGGGAUAGCUGCGGGAAACUGCAGGUAAUACCGGAUAACAUCUCCGGAUCAAAGGUGUGAUUCCGCCUGAGGAUGAGUCUGCAUCCUAUUAGCUAGUUGGUGGGGUAAUGGCCUACCAAGGCAUUGAUGGGUAGCAGGUGUGAGAGCACGACCUGCGUCAUUGGGACUGAGACACUGCCCAGACACCUACGGGUGGCUGCAGUCGAGAAUCUUCGGCAAUGGGCGCAAGCCUGACCGAGCGACGCCGCGUGUGGGAUGAAGGCCUUCGGGUUGUAAACCACUGUCAGAGGGGAUGAAAUGCAGGUGGGUUCUCCCAUCUGUUUGACAUAGCCUCAGAGGAAGGACGGGCUAAGUUCGUG